rnacentral:rRNA from 1 species
AUGCUUUUGUGUGCAAAGAGGCAUUAUUUUCAUUCGAGGACGUGCCUUCCUCUUUGCCCCCUGUUGUCACUAACAUUUUGCAGGAGUUCGCUGACGUCUUCCCACAAGACGUGCCACCGGGAUUAUCACCUAUUCGAGGUUGAGCAUCAAAUUGACUUAAUUCCCGGUGCAUCGCUACCCAACCGUGCACCAUACCGUACCAAUCCAGAGGAGACGAAGGAGAUUAUGCGUCAAGUACAGGAGCUGCUCUACAAAGGUUAUAUACGCGAAUCUCUUAGUCCUUGUGCUGUUCCUAUUAUACUAGUGCCUAAAAAGGAUGGUACGUCGCGUAUGUGUGUUGAUUGUAGAGGCAUUAAUAAUAUUACUAUUCGUUAUCGUCAUCCUAUUCCUAGGCUAGAUGAUAUGCUUGAUGAAUUGAGUGGCUCUACAAUGUUCUCCAAAGUUGAUUUGCGUAGUGGAUACCAUCAAAUUCAUAUGAAAUUGGGAGAUGAAUGGAAAACUGCAUUUAAAACUAAGUUUGGUUUAUAUGAGUGGUUAGUCAUGCCUUUUGGGUUAACUAAUGCACCUAGUACUUUCAUGAGACUAAUGAACGAAGUUUUACGUGCUUUCAUUGGACGAUUUGUGGUAGUCUAUUUUGAUGAUAUAUUGAUUUAUAGCAAAUCUUUGGAAGAACAUUUGGAACAUUUACGUGCUGUUUUUAUUGCUCUACGUGAUGCACGUUUGUUUGGUAACCUUGGGAAGUGCACCUUUUGCACCGACCGAGUAUCUUUUCUUGGCUAUGUUGUUACUCCACAGGGAAUUGAAGUUGAUAAAGCCAAGAUUGAAGCUAUUGAGAGUUGGCCGCAGCCCAAAACGGUCACACAAGUGCGGAGUUUUCUUGGACUCGCUGGUUUCUAUAGGUGUUUUGUGAGAGAUUUUAGCACCAUUGCUGCACCUCUCAACGAGCUUACAAAGAAGGAUGUGCCUUUUGUUUGGGGUACCGCACAGGAAGAAGCCUUCACGGUAUUGAAAGAUAAGUUGACACAUGCUCCUUUACUCCAACUUCCUGAUUUUAAUAAGACUUUUGAGCUUGAAUGUGAUGCUAGUGGAAUUGGAUUAGGAGGUGUGUUAUUACAAGAUGGCAAACAUGUUGCAUACUUUUCUGAAAAAUUGAGUGGGCCUAGUCUGAAUUAUUCUACUUAUGAUAAAGAAUUAUAUGCUCUUGUUCGGACUUUAGAAACAUGGCAACAUUAUUUAUGGCCCAAAGAAUUUGUUAUACAUUCUGAUCAUGAAUCAUUGAAACAUAUUAAAAGUCAAGCUAAACUGAAUCGUAGACAUGCUAAAUGGGUUGAAUUCAUUGAGACUUUCCCUUAUGUCAUUAAACACAAGAAGGGAAAAGAAAAUGUUAUUGCUGAUGCAUUGUCUCGUCGCUAUACUAUGCUUUCACAACUUGACUUCAAAAUAUUUGGUUUGGAGACCAUCAAAGAUCAAUAUGUGCAUGAUGCUGAUUUUAAAGAUGUAAUGCAGAAUUGUAAAGAAGGAAGAAUGUGGAACAAGUUUGUUGUUAACGAUGGAUUUGUGUUUCGUGCUAACAAGCUAUGCAUUCCAGCUAGCUCCGUUCGUCUUUUGUUGUUGCAGGAGGCGCAUGGAGGAGGAUUAAUGGGACACUUUGGCGUGAAGAAGACGGAGGACGUACUUGCUACACAUUUAUUUUGGCCAUAG